UACGGAGGGUGCAAGCGUUGUCCGGAAUCACUGGGCGUAAAGGGCGCGUAGGCGGCUCGGUAAGUAGGGGGUGAAAUCCUGCGGCUUAACCGCAGGGCUGCCUUCUAAACUGUCGAGCUUGAGCACGGUAGAGGCAGAUGGAAUUCCCGGUGUAGCGGUGGAAUGCGUAGAGAUCGGGAAGAACAUCAGUGGCGAAGGCGGUCUGCUGGGCCGUUGCUGACGCUGAGGAGCGAAAGCGUGGGGAGCGAACAGG
rnacentral:rRNA from 1 species